CCCUGACCCCAUGCCGAACUCAGAAGUGAAACGCCGUAGCGCCGAUGGUAGUGUGGGGUCUCCCCAUGUGAGAGUAGGGAACUGCCAGGC
rnacentral:rRNA from 1 species